CCAAAGUGAUGGGAUUACGGGUGUGAGGCCCCACACCCAGCCUCCUUUUCUAAUUCUUUCCUGGCUUGCUUCCCACCACUUCCAAAGCAAUAACUAUCUCCUGGGCAAGAGUUUUUAGUUCAUUUAAAGUAUCCUGUAAUCUAACACAUCCUAUCCUGUAGUCUAGCCUAUCUUAUAAUGUAACCUAACCUAACCAAGGGCCUUUAUUUCCAGGUCGACCCAAUUCUCAAAGCCAUGGCAUUCUGGAUAUAGUUAUUAUUUAAUGCCCUGCAGCAUUCUGCAUAUAGUUAUUAUUUAAUGCCCUGUUGACUUUUGAUCUUUUUUCUUUCAUUGACUUUUACUCUUCACCUCAGUCCGAGAGUAAGCUACUGUCUCCAUGUAGUGAAGGUCUCAAUCUCUUUUUAUGAGUGAACUCUACCUUCCUUCAGUGAUUGCAUCCACACUCUGAGGUCUCUAAAGUCCACAACCAUAAUUAGACUCUUGGCCGAUGUUUAUUGAAGAUUCCUGAUCAGGAAAGAAACUGCAGGGUGUGUCUUGUCUUUUGAUUAGGCCUUGCAAAUCACUAAGGGUUAUUUUUUUAACUCUAUCUUUUCUCCACAGAUUCUUAUAUUAGGGUUUAUGCAAUGUCCGAAUCAGAGUCAACAUGAGAACAUAUGGUGGGGAAGGGACUCAGAAAACUUCAGAGAAGGCCAUGACACCUCAGAAUUUUAUGUGACCAUCAUUCUCUAUCUCUGAGUACAAGUUAAAACAAAGUUCAGAGGAACAGAGUCUAGGCCUGUCAUCUAAGUUAGGUGUAUGAGUAUUUGGAUCUAAUGAUCCAAUAGGCCAAAAAUGUCACACACUGGAAUUCUGUUUAUUCUCUAUCUCUGGAUACAAGUUAAAACAAAGUUCAGAGGAACAGAGUCUAGGCCUGUCAUCUAAGUUAGGUGUAUGAGUAUUUGGAUCUAAUGAUCCAAUAGGCCAAAAAUGUCACACACUGGAAUUCUGUUUAUUUUAGGGAGACCUAGCUGCAGAACCUUGUGGCUCCUGCAGUUUGAAGUCAUGGACAAGGUUAUCCUAGCUCCUAAAAUGAAUAUUUACACCAAUACCAGCACCUGCCUUUUACACAUGGGAGAUUAUACACUGGCCCUGCAGCAGCAGUGCUUCAAGUUUGAGGACUAAACCUCAAUCUCUUUUGUGGGACUUUAUUCCCCAAAUGUCAGUCCCUGGGGAAUACAGUUGCCCUGUAGAUCAUAUCAGUGUCAGGGACAGAGGUGAGAUCCAGGUACCAUUAAGGGAUGAAUUAUGGUAGUGAUUGGCCGGGUGACUUGGGAAUAUUUAAAUUCUGCCUUGGCCCUGUCACCCUGGUGUGUUCCACAAGAGACACAUGUGAUUAAAGAGUGGCAAAGGAAGUAAAAUAACAUUGGGGGCAUUGACCCCCAGACUCUAUUUCAGCACUCUACUAAGCUGACCACAAGGAAGCUUAGAGUAGAGAUAGUGUGGAACUCAGAACCCAAACAGGAUAAAUAGCUUAGCAUUUCCCUUAGGCCAAAGUCAAAUUUCCAAAUUUGCCAUUCAAAUGAGAAAAAAAAAAAAAAGUUACAGCCACCAGCCCCAGAGAGAAUGAACCCAGAAAGGGGCUUUCUACCUGUAUGGGAUUGUUUAUAUUUUCAGGGCUCCACCCAGUAAAAACUGUGGUUCAACAGCGCCCAGGAAUCUUGCCCAUCAAGUCAGCACUCCUCCACUACUUGGGUAGGAGGCUGGGGAGCAGACUAGAGAGGAACUUUUAACUCCUUUGCCUGGAAGUCAAUAUGGACACUAUGCUUGCUUAGAUGCUUAGCUAUGGCAACCAGGUACAUUCUUUAGUGUGUGCUUGAUUAUGUGUUGAUAUGUGGCUGGAGCAUUGACUAAUACAGAAGGUAUCAAAAGAGGUACCAUUAUAGAAUGCAAACUCAAUAACUUUCUGUGAGAAUCACAUCACCUAUGUGGGACUUAUUUUCUAACACAGUUUUUGAUUAUUGGUGAGAUUCUUUAUCAGUGAACUUGAAUCCUUGAGACAAUGGUUUACUAUACCAUGAUGUCACAGUAUUUUGAGUCUUCUGGGAAAUGGCAACUUGCUGCUGUUUACAAUACUGGGAGAAAAUGUGAUACUUUCAUAUGCUGUUAUAAAUGCACAUACACUGAAAUUUGAAUAUGGAUGGACUAUGUUUUUAAACGAUUUGUUUUUAUUUUGUAGUUUUUAAAAAAAGCAAUGUAGACUAUAUGUGAAUAGUUUGCAUGCCAUAAUUUUCCUCACGUGGAGAUCUUCUGCAAUGCUAGGUAGGUGCUGUGGUAUGCCAAGCUGGACUGCUUAAACCUCAUAGAACUGGAAUUAGUGAUUUUAUCUCUCAGGAUGCGGGGAUAUGGAUUUGCCGUGCUGAAGGAAAUCAUUCAGAAUCACAUUCAGAAUUUUCGGCUUUAGGCUUUGAAGACAACUACACUUGGUUUGGCUUUAUUUCAGACAGGCUCCAUGUCAGUUACCUUUUGCUGCAUAAAAAUCUACCCUAAAACUCAGUGGCUUAAAACAACCACUUGCAACUCACAAUUCUGUGGGUUAGCAGUUUGGGUUGGGCUCAGCAUCUCAUGGGCUCAGCUACUUUCAAGUUGUCAAAUUCCUAUUUAUACAUUCAAAGAAAUCCUUAUAAGUUCAAAUAGGGGUAUUAAAUUAAACUUCUAGUAAAGUUGAGUUCUUAUAACCAGAAUGGUUCAUAGUCUGAGAAGAAGAAAGCAACAUGCAGGAAAAAAAACAAAAAAAGGCCUUGUGGUCAAAAUAGUGGGGCCAAAACUGGGCAGUGAGAUCAAAAUGCCCUGUAUUGUUUGAGAGUACCCUGAGGUUCAAGAUAUUUAUUGAGGUUCAGGGACGGUCCUACCACCCCUAUUCUGUCACUGGGUCAGAACUCAGACAAGCUUUUUUGAGGCAGGAGACCUUUACCUUUGCUACCUAAGCUGUUUGCUUCAGAACAGGCUUUCCUGUCACUUUUGCUGCCACCAAACUUAUCAUGAUUUGUGAUCCCAUAAUUGCCAUUAUUUCCAUGGAUGGGGCUGGACUGACUGUGCCCUGUUACUUGUUAUGACUAAAUUAAUGUUUCUGGGGCAAAAUGUCUCAACUCCCAUGUCACUGGUCCCUAAGUGAGAUCCCCACUCAGUCCACCAUUGGGCAAAGAUGUUCCAGCAAAAAUGGUUUGAAAUUCAAAUGCUUGAGUCAUCUUUCUGGUCUCAUAGUGGUUUGAUCUCAGAAGCUUUGUUGCUCUUUCUGCCACUGGACCUUGGCCGUCGUCAUCUCUGUCCAUCCUGACAAAUGUCAUUAACUUUAUUCAUUUAAAAUGUACUUGUCUAUUUAUUAUUUACUCAUUUGUGUAUUCAUGCAUUCAGUUGUUCAUUCAUUCUUCAUUUUUAAUUGCACCUCAGGUUAAACCCUAGGGAGAAGGGGUUGUGGCCAUGACCCCUUCUCUGACAGAAUACCCUUCAAGCUUUGUAUCCAUAGGGACAGUCUGUCUCUGUUUCUUUAUUUUAUUGCCCUUGCCUCUCAUUGGCUCUGUGUCUCUAUCAUCUUGUUACUUGCUCUCACGUGCUCUUACACUCAAACAAAUAUAAAUAGCUCUCUCCUCAGGCACUCUAGUAACUCGCUGACUACCUAAAUAAGAACAGGUGGUUAUUAUAAGGACAUCAGCCAGCAGGAAUCGAGGCAGUUAUGCUCUUCAUCUCUCUCCGGGGCUACAUGAUGUCUCUCUCAGUGUCUCUGUCAUUGUCAUUCUCUCUCUCAGCAUCCCUGCUUCUCUCUGUAUGUGUCCAUAGCUCUAAUCAAUGGCCUACUGAUUUUGUGCAUGAGUUCUGCUUUUAUUGUUACUUUUUCUUGCCAUGAUCCUUCAUAGAUCCCUCUCUUCCUCAGGACAUUUUUGGUAAACUCUAACUCUCAUUUCUAACUGCUGCCGCCUUCACGUUUUUGAAUGGGAGAAAUCAUAUGGGCAUAGAUCAUCUUCUGCAUCAGGCCACAUUGUAGGCAAAGAAGAGUUGUGGUGCUGGCUGGGGUGACUGAUCCUGACUAUUAAGGAGGAAUUGGACUACUACUCUACAAUGGAGACUUGAACUGAAACAUCAGCUUUUCCUUGUCUUGGGCCUACUGGCCUUCAGACUGGAAAUACAUCAUCCACUCUCCUGGGUCUUCUGCAGAUCUUGAGACUUGUCAUCCUCCAUGAUUAGAUGAGUAGCCUGAAUCUCAAAGUGAUAACUUUCCCAAGAUCACACACCUAGCAAGUGAUGGAGGUAAGGUAAUUCAUAUCUGUCUGACUCUUAAAUUAAUCUCCUUAAUUGUCAAGUCAUUCUUCUCCCUAAAGUUGAUACAUGCUAAAUUAUAAUUUUCCCUCGGAGGAAUACCUGAAUCUCAGUCAUUCAGUGUCAGACAGCUGAGUAUGAAUGAGUUUGUCAACUCAUUUCAGAGCAUGUUUUGACUGGGGUUAAAGAAUGGAAGCAGAAGGCACUGGAUACCACUCAAGGAUGGGAUGGCAUUAAAAAAGUAAGAUAUAGUGGAAAGAACAAGGGCAUUGUGAAUCAGUCAAGACUGGCUUUAGAUUCCUGUUCUUUUAUACAGCUAUGUGAUUUUGGGAAAAUUAUUUAGCUUACUUGAAUUAAAUGAGAAUAAGUUAAAGAAUUUUAAGGACUGAGGUGAUGUUUGUAAAGUUGAAAUCUGAUGUUUUGGUAUGUCCAGCCCUCUGUGUCCUUUGAGGGACUGUCCCUUCCCUCGUUCCAUGUGAUCCUAGUGGGGUUGUUAAUUAUGAUGCCCCUCAACCUUGGCUAUAGUGAUAAUCAUAUAAUCUAGAAUGGGCCUUUUAUAAUAUCUAUCCCUUGGCAACAGUGAUUGGUCCAGGGGUUGGCACCAGAUCUAAGCAUGGCCAAUAAGGUGCCUUCUCUGGAUUGACUUUUGGAUGCUGGGGAGAAUAUAAGCUGUUUUUCUGUUUGGCUUUCUAAACUGGAAGCAUGUAAACCUGAAGGUAUGGGCAGUUAUCUUCCCUUGCACAUGGAAAGAAUCUGUCUACAGAAUGAACCCAAUACACAGAAGGGAGUUGAGGGGAGAGAAGUAUGCUCUUGAAUCCUCCUGUAUCUAAAGCAGGUUACCUGUUGCACUUUCCAAUUUAUGAGUCCCUAACCCCACUUUUGUUUUUGCGUAAAUAGUUUGAGUUGGGUUUCUCUCAAGUGCUUUUGAAAUAAUUCUGACUUUUACAGUGUUAUAGUAUAUAUAAAACUCAUAUACAUAAAAAUAAAAAUGCUUAUAGCAUGACUAGUACUGAAUAAAUGAUAAUACAUGUAAUAUAAGAAAUUAUUUGAAAAAACAUAAAUGUGAUUUUCCAUUUGCGUUUUGGGGUACAUUUUUUUCUUAGCUUAAGACAUCCAUUUACUUCUAAGGAAAUCAGAUGGAGAAUAAGAAAUGAAAGAAAACACUUUGGGAGGCUGAGGUGGGCAGAUCACUUGAGGUCAGGAGCUUGA